rnacentral:rRNA from 1 species
CGUNNCGUUAAUUGAUUAUGACGUACUUGUACUGAUUGAGAUUUUAACACGAAGUGAGUGGCGAACGGGUGAGUAACACGUGGGUAACCUGCCCAGAAGUAGGGGAUAACACCUGGAAACAGAUGCUAAUACCGUAUAACAGAGAAAACCGCAUGGUUUUCUUUUAAAAGAUGGCUCUGCUAUCACUUCUGGAUGGACCCGCGGCGUAUUAGCUAGUUGGUGAGGUAAAGGCUCACCAAGGCAGUGAUACGUAGCCGACCUGAGAGGGUAAUCGGCCACAUUGGGACUGAGACACGGCCCAGACUCCUACGGGAGGCAGCAGUAGGGAAUCUUCCACAAUGGACGCAAGUCUGAUGGAGCAACGCCGCGUGAGUGAAGAAGGGUUUCGGCUCGUAAAGCUCUGUUGUUAAAGAAGAACGUGGGUAAGAGUAACUGUUUACCCAGUGACGGUAUUUAACCAGAAAGCCACGGCUAACUACGUGCCAGCAGCCGCGGUAAUACGUAGGUGGCAAGCGUUAUCCGGAUUUAUUGGGCGUAAAGCGAGCGCAGGCGGUCUUUUAAGUCUAAUGUGAAAGCCUUCGGCUCAACCGAAGAAGUGCAUUGGAAACUGGGAGNCUUGAGUGCAGANGNNNACAGUGGAACUCCAUGUGUAGCG